rnacentral:rRNA from 1 species
UACGUAGGGUGCAAGCGUUGUCCGGAAUUAUUGGGCGUAAAGAGCUCGUAGGCGGUUUGUCGCGUCGAAUGUGAAAACCCGGGGCUCAACCCCGGGCCUGCAUUCGAUACGGGCAGACUAGAGUUCGGUAGGGGAGUCUGGAAUUCCUGGUGUAGCGGUGAAAUGCGCAGAUAUCAGGAGGAACCCCGGUGGCGAAGGCGGGACUCUGGGCCGAUACUGACGCUGAGGAGCGAAAGCGUGGGGAGCAAACAGG